AACGAACGCUGGCGGCAUGCCUAACACAUGCAAGUCGAACGAGACCUUCGGGUCUAGUGGCGCACGGGUGCGUAACGCGUGGGAACCUGCCCUUAGGUUCGGAAUAACUCCCCGAAAGGGGUGCUAAUACCGGAUAAUGUCUUCGGACCAAAGAUUUAUCGCCUUUGGAUGGGCCCGCGUUGGAUUAGCUAGUUGGUAGGGUAAAAGCCUACCAAGGCGACGAUCCAUAGCUGGUCUGAGAGGAUGAUCAGCCACACUGGGACUGAGACACGGCCCAGACUCCUACGGGAGGCAGCAGUGGGGAAUAUUGGACAAUGGGCGAAAGCCUGAUCCAGCAAUGCCGCGUGAGUGAUGAAGGCCUUAGGGUUGUAAAGCUCUUUUACCCGGGAUGAAAAUGACAGUACCGGGAGAAUAAGCUCCGGCUAACUCCGUG
rnacentral:rRNA from 1 species